CAUCUCUUCUCUCUUUGGCCGGCUCUCUCCUUUCUUUCUUUCUUUCAUUUUCUCUCUUUUCUUUUCAUUUUGCUGAAACACACACACACUCACCCGCCAGCCUCCACUCCAAAAUACACUAUCUCACCAUCAUUUUUCCGGCAAGAUCACCGGAAAAAUACUUAGGAACUCCAAAGCAUCUUCAUUAUUUUAUUUGAGGUUCUAGCUAAUCUCCCCUUGGAGCUUGGAGAAUUAGGAUUUUGCGGUUGCGAGGUAUAAGUACCUUGGUACAUUAUGCCUCCUAAAAAGAAAGCACGUAAAGUAAGGCAUGUGGAUGAGGUUACAGCUCCAGAGCAUGGCCAUAGGCAACGCCAAGAGCGUGAGAGAUCUGUCACUCCUGAUGGUGGCGAGAUUGAUGAGGUGGCAGACAGGAUUUAUGCUAGGAUUGCUAGAGCAGUCCAAGGUGGUGAACGUAGG